AGAGUCUUUAUAGACAUAGACAAAUUAUGACUGUUCGCUAUUUCUUCUCCUUUUUCUUCAUUCCAGAUUACAUAGUAUCCGGGCACAACUUAACUACCUGAUGAAUUCAGUCCCGUAGCUCAGUUUGGUUAGAGCACUACACUGAUAAUGUAGGGGUCAGCAGUUCAAAUCUGCUCGGGACUACGAUGAUAAUCUGGGGAAUUAGCUCAGCUGGCUAGAGCACCUGCCUUGCACGCAGGGGGUCAACGGUUCGAAUCCGUUAUUCUCCACAUCGUCCACCGAAAGGUGGGCAUUGUCCUCCGAAGUUUUAACGAAGGAGGGCAAAAACACUCGAUUGAGCGAAAGCAAAAGAGAGUACAAGUUCUUUGACAUAUUGAAAGUAAGAGAUUACAAGACAAUUAGGAUAAGUUACUAAGGGCGUAUGGAGGAUGCCUAGGAUCUUGAAGGCGAUGAAGGACGUGUUAAGCUGCGAUAAGCUUCGGGGAGGUGCCAAAAAACCGUUAUAUCCGAGGAUUU
rnacentral:misc_RNA from 1 species